AGUAAGCCUCAAUUAGCGGUUAGUGUUUUGGUGGAACAUCUAAGUGGAAAUCCUUGAACUGUGACGCAGAGUUACAUCCGCUGACAGGUAUGAUGGGAAUGAUUGACAGGUGUCUAUCAUUCCCGUUACUGAGAAUUUGGAUGGCAAACGGCGGUUAUGGCAUUAAAAAAACGACAUCCCACUGGGGCAGAAAAUGUUAGAAGAAAACAGAAAGCUAAAGGAUACAGACAUCUUGGAGUAAGAUUGGUUGAGAAGCCUCCAACUUCCCACAACUAAAUUCUGAUGGCGCAGAUAAACCGCUUAUCCCUGUGACGUCCUCUCUGUUUCAAGUGUGCAGCAGCCCUUUUAACUAUUAAAGUCUGGGUUAUUGAGAAACCUCUAACCUCUUAAUUCAAGACUCUCCUAAUUCUGAAAGAAGCCGUCUCUGCAUACCUUA